UUUUAUCUUAAAAAUGAAUAUUGUGUCUUAUAUAGCUAACUACGGCCAAUUUUAUUAAUUUAAUAUUUUAAAUAACAAUAUUUUUUGGAAUUUACACAGUUUGCGCAAAAUCAGGCUCUAUCUCGCUUUCUUGAGGAGUGACUUGGCAUACCCAAGCUAUUUCCAUAUGACUGUGCACAUUGUAAAUCUACGUUGUAAUAAGACCGAAGUGGAUAAAAUUAUAUAAAAAUGUACUUACAAUUAAAAAUUUCCAAAGAUUCCUAAAAUGGUACUUGCAGUCUACUGAAGAUCACAUACUGGGCGGACAAAGAAGUUAAGACCGGCACGUAUAUGUUAAGUAUUUUUAAUAUAUAAGAAAAUAAACGCUAGAUGAACAAUGUGCCGUACAAG